GGCAAACAGCACACACAGCGGGAGUCCACACACUCCACCAUAGACACACAUUUGUUUACUGCUCGUACUGGAUGCACCAGUCUAGAUUAGUUUGCGUUCACAGUACCACUUGUGUAGAAACGAAAGACCCUCCUCUUUGGACCAGCAUCGACAGUUUUGCUCUUCUCACAAGACUGUUCAGGGGCUGCUUCAGUGACAUCUGACAAGUUUACUUCCAUCUGAUCUGAUCCCUCCACCCCAGUGCCUGCCAGCAAGGUUAUCUGACCCACUAUUAACGAACCCCAAUGAGCUCCUCUGCUGUGGCGUUGAUUAGCAUGAGCCACGCUAAAUUCCCCGCCGCUAAGCUAACCUUGGCCCGUAGCCACUCUGCCCUCUAUGUCCUGUGGUGUGGUUAGUGCCGACGGCUAACGCGAGAGCACAGUCAAUCCGGAUGCUAGUGGCAACGCAAUAACCUCCCAUGGGUUGUGACUCCUCAGCACGACAUGGCUAGCACUCAUCAGCCAGAGCAAUUAGACCCAGCCUGCUUCCCCCCAUAUUCGCACUACGGCAGCUACAGUGUCAAGGCAGAAGAUAGGGGGAUGAGGAGGAGAGGGGGAAUGAAGGGGACACUUAAGUUCAGACCCCAAGAGGAGGAAGCAGAUGGACAUUUGACUCUGAACUUUAAGAUUGACUUUCUCUCUCUCUUUCAACCAUCCUUCUCUGUCCCCUCUCUCCACUCUGUCCUCAUCUCCACCCACCCUAACUGUCUUUCAACCUUUACCCUUUCCUCUCACAAACACCCUGCCUACCUCUCCCUGCAUCUCUCUCCCUACCUCUCCCACUCUUCCUCCCUUCCUCUAUCUCUCUACAGUGAAGAUGGCAAUGUGGAAGAAAUGUUUGAUCGUGGCCUGCUGUCUGCUAGUGAUGGCUGUCCUGGUCCUCGCCUGUGUGCUGCGCUACAAUUCCAAGAGAGGUAGAGAGACCUACAGUCCCCCAGCAACACAGGCCUUUGCUGGUGUCUGACUAUGAAUGAACAACCUCUUCUCUCUCUCAUCCCCUUCUUCUUAUUGUAUAGACGCAGCGCCACCCUUUGACGGCAUGGAGGGGAGAGCGACCAAUGGGACGCGAGAUAGUGUGGCAUCACUUCCUGCUUGCAUCAGCAACAGUCUCCCAGCAACAGUGUAGAGAAACCCCACAGAGGGAGGGACUUUUUUGGUUUGAGACAAAAAAGAACAAACAUUUUGCACCACUUGGUUGAAUAAAGGAAUAUAUGGGAUGAAAACCAAGGAUAACAAUUGGAACAAUGGCUCAAAAAAACAAAAUCCCCACAGACAUUUUAGAGAGGGAAAAAUGGCCAAAAUGUGUUCCUAUGAGAAAAUACUACUACUUUGUUAUGUGUUUUAGAUGUAAUUUCAGAAGGUACAGGUGUAGUGGACACAAUAUGGCUGACACCAAGGGGCUUGUUGUCAACAUCAGUCCCAGUGACAGACAGUUGAACUGGCCCCAUUGCUCCCUCUCCUCUCCUGCUGCUGUCUGGAAGAGCUGUACUUUCCUGUCAUUAUCAACAUACUGUCUUUGUCCUGUGUUCUCACCUCAUUGUGUCUGUCUGCCUGUCUGACUGCAUGUCUAUCGAAUGAUGGAACUAGCCCAUUUGUCUAAUAGUCUGUUUGUCCAAAAACAAUGUGUGCGUGUCUAAAUGUAUAGAUCUGAUUCUGUAUGUACAGUACACUAGUCUAUCAAUAGAAAUGUGUGUAUAUAUUUUGGGUUUGGUUAAUUGAUUGAUUUUAAAGAGGCACUUCUACAAUAAAACUGUUUUUUUA